rnacentral:tRNA from 1 species
AAGGGAGACCUAAUUCCGGUAGGAGACGAAAAAAAAGUAGUCCCAACCAAGAAUCAAUCCCAAAAGGUCGGAGCGAGGCGAGAUUGGCUUUCAAACUAGGUUCUGGGUUCACACAAGACCUGAAUCAGGAACAAGGGCUAUUAGCUCAGGUGGUUAGAGCGCACCCCUGAUAAGGGUGAGGUCCCUGGUUCGAGUCCAGGAUGGCCCACCUGUACAGGUGGAAGAAAGAAAAGAAGCUCCGAAUCAGCACCUUAUCUUACUUAUAUAGUAAGAGAGAAUGCUGGCUCUGAGUUCAGAGUCCAGAGGAACCUUGAAAACUGCAUAGAGCUAGGUGAAAAAGCCAAAAAAGAAGACCGCCA